rnacentral:rRNA from 1 species
GGAUGAACGCUGGCGGCGUGCCUACUACAUGCAAGUCGAGCGAACAGACGAGGAGCUUGCUCCUCUGACGUUAGCGGCGGACGGGUGAGUAACACGUGGAUAACCUACCUAUAAGACUGGGAUAACUUCGGGAAACCGGAGCUAAUACCGGAUAAUAUAUUGAACCGCAUGGUUCAAUAGUGAAAGACGGUUUUGCUGUCACUUAUAGAUGGAUCCGCGCCGCAUUAGCUAGUUGGUAAGGUAACGGCUUACCAAGGCAACGAUACGUAGCCGACCUGAGAGGGUGAUCGGCCACACUGGAACUGAGACACGGUCCAGACUCCUACGGGAGGCAGCAGUAGGGAAUCUUCCGCAAUGGGCGAAAGCCUGACGGAGCAACGCCGCGUGAGUGAUGAAGGUCUUCGGAUCGUAAAACUCUGUUAUUAGGGAAGAACAAAUGUGUAAGUAACUAUGCACGUCUUGACGGUACCUAAUCAGAAAGCCACGGCUAACUACGUG